AUUAUGCUACAUUUACAACACUCCUCCAUGUUUUGCAGAAAAGGGUGAAAAGGCCCAAAAUCCUUCUAUAAUGGAGAGGGUCAAGAAACUGUGGUUGCUGUAAUUUAUGGAGGGACCCGACCGUGAAGAAAAGAAGUAACCAGAGGGGCCAAGCUAAAGUUGGAGGGAUCAUCUUGUGAAGAAAGAAGAGAAGUGGAAGGGCAAAAGAGCAAAAGGGGCAUAUCAGAGGAGGGGGAUCAAAUCCCUAGCGGCAACCAUCGAUCCCCUUGGUGUCUGGCCACAUCUCCCUCUCUCUCCCCCACCUCCUUCUCCAGCACAGGCCGCCGCCACGGCCAGGCUGGCGUGGGGCACGCCACCAGCUCCACUUUGUUGCCGCACCUCCGCACUCCAUGCAUCCAUUCUCUGCACCGCAACCCAUCCACCAUAACUACCACGAGUCGCUUGCUGCACCUCACGCCGCCAAUCUGAAUCUCUUCUUCCUUCUUGCUGUUGUUCAUCCCAACCUCGUUGUUGUUCAUCUUUGCUACUGCCCUAAGCUCUCUUCUUCUCUCUCAAACUUGUUGCUGCUGAUGCCCUCAACCUCCUGCUGCUCCUCUCUUCUUGCGCCUCUACUGUUGCCCCUUCUACCCCUACCUCGCUGGUGCUCUGCUUCUUUUCCGUCCCCACGCUGCUGCUGCUCCUUCUCUCUAUGCCCCUGCUGCUGCUUCUUUCCCAGUCUUGCAACUGCCCUUCUGCAUCUCCAACUUGUUGUUGCUCCUCUGAACCUCUUCUCCUCCUAGUGUUGCUUCUAUCUUGCCGCUUCCCUGUAGCGGUUCCUUUCCUUCACCCGCUGCUCUCUUUGUGUGUGUGUGUGUGUGUGUGUUCGUGUGUGUGAGAUUGUGUGUGUUUGUACUUCAUAAGUAUUGAUAGUAUGUGAUGAAGAGAUAUGUUAAUUCUAGGGACAAGUAGUUGUUCUUAUAAUUUUGUUGAUCAGUGAGAAUUGGUACUGAUGCUUAUGACCUUCUAUUUCUAUGUAUGAGAUCUAGCCAAACCUGUCAUUUAUAUAUUGUACUUGCUGAAUAGUGUUCAGUUUUUAGUCCCUGUUUUAGCUCUAGUACCCGUGACAUAUAUGUUCGUGAUAUAUGUUUCAUGUGGUUUCGUAUUGCUGUUAUGUUGAUCAUUUUAGUGCUAGUACUGUGUCUUGUGUAAUCCAAACCAUAUAUGAUUUGUGUGUAGUAGCUUUUAAUAAUUCAUAUUAUUUCUUGUGAAUUUUCUAUCGAUGUUACUCUCUGUAGAAGUGAGAUGUAUGAACAUUUAAUUUCCAGUCUCCGUGUUAACGAUGUUAGUGUGAAUAUAUAUAUAUAUAUAUAUAUUUGUUGUGAUAUAUUUCUGUCCCUGUCGUACUAGCGUGUUCCUACCUUGUCUCAUACUUGCUAGUUAUAUAUAUACAUAUAUGUGGUCUUGUCUUGUUAAUUCCCCUUGUUGAGGAUGUCCGUCUGUAGUUUCAAUUUUCUCAAGUGAUAUGAAAACACCAAAAAAGGAGCGAGUUUCAAUCUUAAUCUCCUCGUGUCGUUUGUCAUUUUAUUUGUCGUCAUUCUAGAUUUGUAUUUUCUUCUUUCAUCAUCUAAAUUCUGUCACCUAGCUUUAGCCGAGCAUUGUUGCCGUCGCCUAGUCCCUGUGUAGAACACGACACUCGCAGUUUGGGUGUAAAAACCCCACUGUACCUACAAUUGAUCAUUUUGGCGCCGUUGCCGGGGACUAGCGUCGAGCGAUUGUGCGAAGCUAUAGACUAGGCUUAGUAUAGUUUUUGUUUAAAUUUCCAGUCAAAUUUAUUUCUGUGUUUCUUUUACCUUUUUACUUUUUGUUGCUUCGGCUUAUUAGGAUACUAACCCUCUCACCAAUGUUUCAUGUUUGUGAGCGUGUGUAGGAUAUCUUAUUAUUUGUAGGCUGAUUGACAGUUGCACUUGAACAUAUGGCUUUAGUACGUGAUCUUUGGUUGCCAAGUAGUUUGGACACGAUGACAGGGCCAAUUUGGCCAUCUAUUGAGGCCGAAAAUUUUGAGUUGAGGCCUGGACUUAUUGCUCUCGUCUUGCAGAAUCAGUUUAGAGGAUUACCCAAUGAAGACCCUCAUGAGCACAUUAGUAAUGUUCUGGAGUAUGCCAAUACAGUCCAGUAUCAUGGUGUUUCCCAAGAUGCUAUCAAGUGUAUGUUGUUCACAUUCUCUCUCAGAGAUGCUGCUAAGGACUGGUACUAUUCUUUGCCAUCAAGAUCAUACACUUGGGGUGAUAUUUCACAAGCUUUCCUGCAUAGAUAUUUUCCACUUUACAAGCAAGCUACAAUUCGUGACCAGAUCCUCAGUUUUGCGCAAGAUGGUAGUGAGAGCUUGUAUGCAGCUUGGGAGAGAUAUAAGUAUUUGCUUAGAAAAUGUCCUAAUCAUGGGCAAAAGGAUUGGUUAGUGCUUCAGAUAUUCUAUAGAGGGCUGACACAUGCUUCAAGAGAUCUUAUUGAUAUGUCAGCUGGUGGAACAAUCAUGAACAACACCGUCGAGGGUGCAAUUAUUCUCAUUGAGAGCAUUGCCUUCCACCAAAUGCAAUGGGGUUAUGAAAGGCCUAGUUCAAAUCCGAAGGUUGCAGGCCUCGUGCAAUCAGAAGCUGUGUGUUCCAUAAGUGAACAGUAAUCAUCCAUGGUGCCUAAUAUUCAAAACCAGCAUGUUUCAUUCCGGGGACAACAACAUUUCAGAACUGAAUUAGAUCCUCCAUAUAGAAAGAUUGAUCUUACUUCAAUUAUCCUUGAUGAUGAUUAUGAUAUUUUUCAAGAUGAUGAAACUACUAUAGAUCAGAUGGAAACCAGAGUAGCAGAUCCAAUACCUCAUGGCAAUGAAACUGUCCAGAAUGAGUCAAAGUUGCAAGAAGAUGUUUAUGAGGAACCUACUCUGAUUGAUGCUAAGUUGAGACAACAAGAUAUGGAGAAAUUCACUUGUGUUAGUCAACUAUGUGACUGGUGGAAUUUAGUCGUGUCACCAAUUGCCCACACUUGUGUUACAACGGUAUCUUGGCAAUUUGUCAAGAAGAAAUCAGUAGCUCCACCGGUGGUUGCCUCUAUCACAGUUAAAGAGAGUAUCUUAGAGAAGAAUAGUGAAGAUGAGAUUCCAACUCCUGCACAUACAACUAAGCAAGUCGGAGACAUUCCAAGGAGAGAGAUACAAGAGGCUGAGUCAAAUUUAGAAGAGUUGAUACUUCAAUAUCCUAAGAAGAUCCCACGUGUUGCUGAGCUGCAUGACUGGUGGAAGUCAUCAGUGUCACUAUUGAAACUUAGCAGUGAUGGUGAUGAGGAGAACAUUGCUCAAAAAGACAGCAAGGUAGUGAUCUCAGCACCCCUACCAGAUCAUGUUAGUGAAUAUUCACAGAUGGGGACACUUCAGACUCAAUUAAGUGUUGCUGGUAGUAGCACCAUGGUAGAUCCAGAGGAAGAGAGUCCUCAACUUGAAGAAGAUUUACAAGAAGGCAAGGAACAAGAUGAUCAAGAGCUGCAAUUUCCAAGUGAUCAAGUUGAAGACUCAUCAUCUACUACUCCUGAAGAAGUACAAGAAGCUGAUGUAGAUGAAGAUGAAGAACCCAAGAUUCAUUGGCCUAUUGUCAUACAUGAGCGUGAUGUGUCAGGUUUACCCAAUCCUCUUGAUGACAUGCUCCCUUGUGAUUUCUUUGCUUCUAACUUGCAUUGCAUGAUGCCAUCACUUAAGGUAGAUUUGAAAAACUAUUUGCUUGGACAUGAUCAUACACACCCUGUUAGUGGCAUUACUCUCAUUUGUGAUGAUCACAGUUACUUUCCUCGUGCUAGUUCUAUGCUUAAUGAAACAUAUCAUUCCCAUGCUAGUCUUGAGCUUAAUGAUAAAUAUCAUCCUCAUGUUAGCAUUGAGCUUACUGAUUUGUACCAUCCUAAACAUGUGCUUUAUAGCUAUGCUUAUGUAAUUGGUUAUUCGAUUGAUGACUUGGAGGGUAUUAUCCCUACCACUUGCAUUGUCUCUUUCGUUAAGUGCUCUUUCAGGUUCUUGCUUGUGCACGGUCCAUUACAUGUUGACCAGGUUCGAGGUGACAUUCCUUGGGACCCUGGUGGACUCAGAGCAUGGGGAUGAGGAGAAGCAAGGGGGCACACACGAGGAAGGGAGAAGCUGGAGCAGGCAUGAGGAUAGAGAAGCAAAAGGAGAGGAGCUGCAGUUGGUGAGGUGAUCGAGCGAGUGCUACAUCAUCAAAGCCCGGUGAGCUGUUUCAUGACCCAUUCCGAGUAUAUCAUCCAUUGAUACAUGCUGAAAUCAAAUGUUAUUUGGGUUGCUUAAGACAUGUCUUAAAUGUUGCCCCACUGAAUUUUAUUUGACAUAUGGUGCUUGAUGAGAAUAUGCGAACUGAUUGUUGAAUGCCAUGUAAACUAGUGAUCUACAUAUUGCUUGCUUUGCUGAAAUUAGUGAAAGUUGUUAGUUUUGAGUGCUCAAAUCCCUAGUACACUAGAAAACUUAAUCAUUAUCUGCUUUUACCUCGAUACACCUAGAUCACCACGUUUAGAUGCUGAAUUUGUGCCAAGUGUCUUCCCAUUGAGAGCAAUCACCUAACCACUAUGGAUUAGCAUGCUAUGUUCCUUGGAUCGGUAGCAUGUGAACCAGACAUGGAGAAGUGAUGAUUCCUAUUUUUGUUCUUAUGCGUUGUUCAUUUAAGAUAAGUAAUAAUGAAUAAAUAAGUCUGACUACCUACAGUAGCAUGUCAUGUUCCCGGGAUCGGUGGCACGUGAAAUCGGGUUAGCUUGGGCAGUAAUUAAUAAUAAAAAAAUGUAAUUGUCGAACCAGGUGUAUACUAUGUUCUCGGGAUCGGUGGUAUGUUCCUUUGGGGAGACAAACAAACUAAAAAAACUGAUAAUUGGUCGAGCCAGGUGUAUACCAUGUUCUCGGGAUCGGUGGUAUGUUCCUUUGGUGAGACUAAUAAAAUAUUAUCAUUACUUCCUUCAAAUUUAAUAAGUGGUUCAACCACAAUGUUAUAUUUCUGCAAAUAAGUGAUUUAAUUCAAGUUCCUUUUGUUCUCAGGAUCAUGCUCUCUUUAGGAACCUUUUGGCACAGUCAGCAUUUGAACUUGCUAAUCUUCGUUUAUCAUUGCAAAAGUUUAAAAUGGCCGAGUUUAAUAGUGUCCUAUUGAUAUGUAGCACUCUUAACCAUUGAUUAUCACUAGGUAAGUCCAAAGCAUGCAAUGUUUGGAGAUCUACUUCACUGGGACAUUCUCUAGUCAGCUCACUGUUCACUAUCUAGCUCUUGUCAUAUGCCUUUGCUUGAGGACAAGCAAAGAUUUAAGUGUGGGGGAACUUGAUAGAGCAUUUCUUCAUAUAAUCUUUUUAGCCUUUUUGCAUCCUAUUGUAAUCAUAUUUUCACAUUAUUUACUUAAGAAAUACUCCAAUACCCCCAUUAUGCUACAUUUACAACACUCCUCCAUGUUUUGCACGAAAAGGCCCAAAAUCCUUCUAUAAUGGAGAGGGUCAAGAAACUGUGGUUGCUGUAAUUUACGGAGGGACCCGACCGUGAAGAAAAGAAGUAACCAGAGGGGCCAAGCUAAAGUUGGAGGGAUCAUCUUGUGAAGAAAGAAGAGAAGUGGAAGGGCAAAAGAGCAAAAGGGGCAGAUCAGAGGAGGGGGAUCAAAUCCCUAGCGGCUACCAUCGAUCCCCUUAGUGUCUGGCCACAUCUCCCUCUCUCUCCCCUGCCUCCUUCUCCAGCACAGGCCGCCGCCACGGCCAGGCUGGCGUGGGGCGCGCCACCAGCUCCACUUUGCCGCCGCACCUCCACACUCCAUGCAUCCAUUCUCUGCACCGCGACCCAUCCACCAUAACUACCACGAGUCCCUUGCUGCACCUCACGCCACCAAUCUGAAUCUCUUCUUCCUUUUUGUUGCUAUUCAUCCCAACCUCGUUGUUGUUCAUCUUUGCUACUGCCCGCAGCUCUCUUCUUCUCUCUCAAACUUGUUGCUGUUGAUGCCCUCAACCUCCUGCUGCUCCUCUCUUCUUGCGCCUCUUCUGUUGCCCCUUCUACCCCUACCUCGUUGCUGCUCUGCUUCUUUUCCGUCCCCACGCUGCUGCUGCUCCUUCUCUCUAUGCCCCUCAUGCUGCUUCUUUCCCAGUCUUGCAACUGCCCUUCUACAUCUCCAACUUGCUGCUGCUCCUCUGAACCUCUUCUCCUCCUAGUGUUGCUUCUAUAUUGCCGCUUUCCUGUAGCGGUUCCUUUCCUUCACCCGCUGCUCUCUUUGUGUGUGUGUGUGUGUGUGUGCGUGUUUGUGCGUGUGAGAUUGUGUGUGUUUGUACUUCAUAAGUAUUGAUAGUGUGUGAUGAAGAGAUAUGUUAAUUCCAGGGACAAGUAGUUGUUCUUAUAAUUUUGUUAAUCAGUGAGAAUUGGUACUGAUGGUUAUGACCUUCUAUUUCUAUGUAUGAGAUCUAGCCAAACCUGUCAUUUAUAUAUUGUACUUGCUGAAUAGUGUUCAGUUUUCAGUCCCUGUUUUAGCUCUAGUACCCGUGACAUAUAUGUUCGUGAUAUAUGUUUCAUGUGGUUUCGUAUUGCUGUUAUGUUGAUCAUUUUAGUGCUAGUAUUGUGUCUUGUGUAAUCCAAACCAUAUAUGAUUUGUGUGUGUGACUAAUUGUCAGCUAGUAGCUUUUAAUAAUUCAUAUUGUUUCUUGUGAAUUUUCUAUCGAUGUUACUCUCUAUAGAAGUGAGAUGUAUGAACAUUUAAUUUCCAGUCUCCGUGUUAACGAUGUUAGUGUGAAUAUAUAUAUAUAUAUAUAUAUAUAUAUAUAUAUAUAUAUAUAUAUAUAUAUAUAUGUUUUUGUUGUGAUAUAUUUCUGUCCCUGUCGUACUAGCGUGUUCCUACCUUGUCUCAUACUUGCUAGUUAUAUAUAUACAUAUAUGUGGUCUUGUCUUGUUAAUUCCCCUUGUUGAGGAUGUCCGUCUGUAGUUUCAAUUUUCUCAAGUGAUAUGAAAACACCAGAAAAGGAGCGAGUUUCAAUCUUAAUCUCCUCAUGCCAUUUGUCAUUUUAUUUGUCAUCAUUCUAGAUUUGUAUUUUCUUCUUUCAUCAUCUAAAUUCUGUCACCUAGCUUUAGCCGAGCAUUGUUGCCGUCGCCUAGUCCCUGUGGAGAACACUACACUCGCAGUUUGGGUGUAAAAACCCCACUGUACCUACAAUUGAUC
rnacentral:lncRNA from 1 species